AGGAGAGUGAAGGGCAGGAGCUUCUGUGCCCCACACUCUCACCCUGGCUCUCUGAACUGCGAAAGGAUCUUGGGGAGUCUGUAGAAGAUUGAAAACAUGAGGGUUUCCAGGAAUAAAGGUUCCUGGAAAGAACGCCUCAGGAAUCUCCAGGAGUUGUUGGACGAAAGAGAAAAAUGGAGCAAGGCCGUGACGAUGCAAGAGAGCAGAGGGGAGGCAGAGCAGGACUGUUGAACUGCCAGUUAGAAGAGCUGCCGUGGCUUUCUGGAAAGCUUCGAGAGCUGUGGAGCUGCCCAUUUGGAUUGGAAUCGGGCCUAAAAGAUUCUGCUCUGGGGACAGACUGGCUCUGCUGCAAUACAAUGUUCUUCA
rnacentral:lncRNA from 1 species